rfam:Alligator sinensis unplaced genomic scaffold scaffold297_1, whole genome shotgun sequence
UGGUUCAGUGGUAGAAUCCUUGUCUGUCACACAAGAGAUCUGGGUUCAGUUCCCAG